UUAAGCGACUAAGCGUACACGGUGGAUGCCGGCAGUCAGAGGCGAUGAAGGACGUGCUAAUCUGCGAUAAGCGUCGGUAAGGUGAUAUGAACCGUUAUAACCGGCGAUUUCCGAAUGGGGAAACCCAGUGUGAUUCGUCACACUAUCAUUAACUGAAUCCAUAGGUUAAUGAGGCGAACCGGGGAACUGAAACAUCUAAGUACCCCGAGAAAAGAAAUCAACCGAGAUUCCCCAGUAGCGGCGAGCGAACGGGGAGCAGCCCAGAGCCUGAAUCAGUGUGUGUGUUAGUGGAAGCGUCUGGAAAGGCGCGCGAUACAGGGUGACAGCCCGUACACAAAAAUGCACAUACUGUGAGCUCGAUGAGUAGGGCGGGACACGUGGUAUCCUGUCUGAAUAUGGGGGGACCAUCCUCCAAGGCUAAAUACUCCUGACUGACCGAUAGUGAACCAGUACCGUGAGGGAAAGGCGAAAAGAACCCCGGCGAGGGGAGUGAAAAAGAACCUGAAACCGUGUACGUACAAGCAGUGGGAGCCUCUUAAUGGGGUGACUGCGUACCUUUGUAUAAUGGGUCAGCGACUUAUAUUCUGUAGCAAGGUUAACCGAAUAGGGGAGCCGAAGGGAAACCGAGUCUUAACUGGGCGUUAAGUUGCAGGGUAUAGACCCGAAACCCGGUGAUCUAGCCAUGGGCAGGUUGAAGGUUGGGUAACACUAACUGGAGGACCGAACCGACUAAUGUUGAAAAAUUAGCGGAUGACUUGUGGCUGGGGGUGAAAGGCCAAUCAAACCGGGAGAUAGCUGGUUCUCCCCGAAAGCUAUUUAGGUAGCGCCUCGUGAAUUCAUCUCCGGGGGGUAGAGCACUGUUUCGGCAAGGGGGUCAUCCCGACUUACCAACCCGAUGCAAACUGCGAAUACCGGAGAAUGUUAUCACGGGAGACACACGGCGGGUGCUAACGUCCGUCGUGAAGAGGGAAACAACCCAGACCGCCAGCUAAGGUCCCAAAGUCAUGGUUAAGUGGGAAACGAUGUGGGAAGGCCCAGACAGCCAGGAUGUUGGCUUAGAAGCAGCCAUCAUUUAAAGAAAGCGUAAUAGCUCACUGGUCGAGUCGGCCUGCGCGGAAGAUGUAACGGGGCUAAACCAUGCACCGAAGCUGCGGCAGCGACGCUUAUGCGUUGUUGGGUAGGGGAGCGUUCUGUAAGCCUGCGAAGGUGUGCUGUGAGGCAUGCUGGAGGUAUCAGAAGUGCGAAUGCUGACAUAAGUAACGAUAAAGCGGGUGAAAAGCCCGCUCGCCGGAAGACCAAGGGUUCCUGUCCAACGUUAAUCGGGGCAGGGUGAGUCGACCCCUAAGGCGAGGCCGAAAGGCGUAGUCGAUGGGAAACAGGUUAAUAUUCCUGUACUUGGUGUUACUGCGAAGGGGGGACGGAGAAGGCUAUGUUGGCCGGGCGACGGUUGUCCCGGUUUAAGCGUGUAGGCUGGUUUUCCAGGCAAAUCCGGAAAAUCAAGGCUGAGGCGUGAUGACGAGGCACUACGGUGCUGAAGCAACAAAUGCCCUGCUUCCAGGAAAAGCCUCUAAGCAUCAGGUAACAUCAAAUCGUACCCCAAACCGACACAGGUGGUCAGGUAGAGAAUACCAAGGCGCUUGAGAGAACUCGGGUGAAGGAACUAGGCAAAAUGGUGCCGUAACUUCGGGAGAAGGCACGCUGAUAUGUAGGUGAAGUCCCUUGCGGAUGGAGCUGAAAUCAGUCGAAGAUACCAGCUGGCUGCAACUGUUUAUUAAAAACACAGCACUGUGCAAACACGAAAGUGGACGUAUACGGUGUGACGCCUGCCCGGUGCCGGAAGGUUAAUUGAUGGGGUUAGCGGUAACGCGAAGCUCUUGAUCGAAGCCCCGGUAAACGGCGGCCGUAACUAUAACGGUCCUAAGGUAGCGAAAUUCCUUGUCGGGUAAGUUCCGACCUGCACGAAUGGCGUAAUGAUGGCCAGGCUGUCUCCACCCGAGACUCAGUGAAAUUGAACUCGCUGUGAAGAUGCAGUGUACCCGCGGCAAGACGGAAAGACCCCGUGAACCUUUACUAUAGCUUGACACUGAACAUUGAGCCUUGAUGUGUAGGAUAGGUGGGAGGCUUUGAAGUGUGGACGCCAGUCUGCAUGGAGCCGACCUUGAAAUACCACCCUUUAAUGUUUGAUGUUCUAACGUUGGCCCCUAAUCGGGGUUGCGGACAGUGUCUGGUGGGUAGUUUGACUGGGGCGGUCUCCUCCUAAAGAGUAACGGAGGAGCACGAAGGUUGGCUAAUCCUGGUCGGACAUCAGGAGGUUAGUGCAAUGGCAUAAGCCAGCUUGACUGCGAGCGUGACGGCGCGAGCAGGUGCGAAAGCAGGUCAUAGUGAUCCGGUGGUUCUGAAUGGAAGGGCCAUCGCUCAACGGAUAAAAGGUACUCCGGGGAUAACAGGCUGAUACCGCCCAAGAGUUCAUAUCGACGGCGGUGUUUGGCACCUCGAUGUCGGCUCAUCACAUCCGGGGCUGAAGUAGGUCCCAAGGGUAUGGCUGUUCGCCAUUUAAAGUGGUACGCGAGCUGGGUUUAGAACGUCGUGAGACAGUUCGGUCCCUAUCUGCCGUGGGCGCUGGAGAACUGAGGGGGGCUGCUCCUAGUACGAGAGGACCGGAGUGGACGCAUCACUGGUGUUCGGGUUGUCAUGCCAAUGGCACUGCCCGGUAGCUAAAUGCGGAAGAGAUAAGUGCUGAAAGCAUCUAAGCACGAAACUUGCCCCGAGAUGAGUUCUCCCUGACUCCCUGAGAGUCCUGAAGGAACGUUGAAGACGACGACGUUGAUAGGCCGGGUGUGUAAGCGCAGCGAUGCGUUGAGCUAACCGGUACUAAUGAACCGUGAGGCUUAACCU
rnacentral:rRNA from 1 species